AUUGAACGCUGGCGGCAGGCCUAACACAUGCAAGUCGAACGAGUGGCGGACGGGUGAGUAAUGUCUGGGAAACUGCCUGAUGGAGGGGGAUAACUACUGGAAACGGUAGCUAAUACCGCAUACCAUCAGAUGUGCCCAGAUGGGCUUAGCGUGUUGGUGGGGUAACGGCUCACCAAGGCGACGAUCACUAGCUGGUCUGAGAGGAUGACCAGCAACACUGGAACUGAGACACGGUCCGGCCGCCUACGGGAGGAAGCAGUGGGGAAUAUUGCAAAAUGGGGGCAAGCCUGAUACAGCCAGGCCGCUUGUAUGAAGAAGGCCUUCGGUUUGUAAAGUACUUUCAGCGGGGAGGCGUUACCCGAAGAAGAAGCACCGGCUAACUCCGUGCCAGCAGCCGCGGUAAUUC
rnacentral:rRNA from 1 species